GACGAACGCUGGCGGCGCGCCUAACACAUGCAAGUCGAACGGAGCUUAGAGAGCUUGCUUUUUAAGCUUAGUGGCGAACGGGUGAGUAACGCGUGAGUAACCUGCCCUAGAGUGGGGGACAACAGUUGGAAACGACUGCUAAUACCGCAUAAGCCCACGGUACCGCAUGGUACUGAGGGAAAAGGAUUUAUUCGCUUUAGGAUGGACUCGCGUCCAAUUAGCUAGUUGGUGAGGUAACGGCCCACCAAGGCGACGAUUGGUAGCCGGACUGAGAGGUUGAACGGCCACAUUGGGACUGAGACACGGCCCAGACUCCUACGGGAGGCAGCAGUGGGAGAUAUUGCACAAUGGGGGAAACCCUGAUGCAGCGACGCCGCGUGGAGGAAGAAGGUUUUCGGAUUGUAAACUCCUGUCGUUAGGGACGAUAAUGACGGUACCUAACAAGAAAGCACCGGCUAACUACGUGCCAGCAGCCGCGGUAAAACGUAGGGUGCAAGCGUUGUCCGGAAUUACUGGGUGUAAAGGGAGCGCAGGCGGGAAGACAAGUUGGAAGUGAAAACCAUGGGCUCAACCCAUGAAUUGCUUUCAAAACUGUUUUUUCUUGAGUAGUGCAGAGGUAGAUGGAAUUCCCGGUGUAGCGGUGGAAUGCGUAGAUAUCGGGAGGAACACCAGUGGCGAAGGCGGUCUACUGGGCACCAACUGACGCUGAGGCUCGAAAGCAUGGGUAGCAAACAGGAUUAGAUACCCUGGUAGUCCAUGCCGUAAACGAAAGAUUAUUAGGGGGUUGGGGGGAGGCCCCCCCCCGUCCCGCAGUUAACACCACUAAAUAAUCCCCCCGGGGAGGUGGGACCGCAAGGUUGGAAACUCAAAGGAAUUGACGGGGGCCCGCCCAAGCAGUGGAGUAAUGUGGUUUAAUUGGAAGCAACGCGAAGAACCUUUCCAGGUCUUGACAUCCGAUGCAUAACACAGAGAUGUGUGAAAUCCUUCGGGACAUCGAGACAGGUGGUGCAUGGUUGUCGUCAGCUCGUGUCGUGAGAUGUUGGGUUAAGUCCCGCAACGAGCGCAACCCUUAUUGCCAGUUACUACGUUAAGAGGACUCUGGCGAGACUGCCGUUGACAAAACGGAGGAAGGUGGGGAUGACGUCAAAUCAUCAUGCCCUUUAUGACCUGGGCUACACACGUACUACAAUGGCGUUAAACAAAGAGAAGCAAGACCGCGAGGUGGAGCAAAACUCAAAAACAACGUCUCAGUUCAGAUUGCAGGCUGCAACUCGCCUGCAUGAAGUCGGAAUUGCUAGUAAUCGCGGAUCAGCAUGCCGCGGUGAAUACGUUCCCGGGCCUUGUCU
rnacentral:rRNA from 1 species